AGAGUUUGAUCAUGGCUCAGAUUGAACGCUGGCGGCAUGCCUUACACAUGCAAGUCGAGCGGCAGCGCGGGGGCAACCCUGGCGGCGAGCGGCGCACGGGUGAGUAAUGCAUCGGAACGUGUCCUCUUGUGGGGGAUAACCAGUCGAAAGACUGGCUAAUACCGCAUGAGAUCGAGAGAUGAAAGCAGGGGACCCGCAAGGGCCUUGCGCGAGAGGAGCGGCCGAUGCCCGAUUAGCUAGUUGGUGGGGUAAUGGCCCACCAAGGCGACGAUCGGUAGCUGGUUUGAGAGAACGACCAGCCACACUGGGACUGAGACACGGCCCAGACUCCUACGGGAGGCAGCAGUGGGGAAUUUUGGACAAUGGGGGCAACCCUGAUCCAGCCAUGCCGCGUGUGUGAAGAAGGCCUUCGGGUUGUAAAGCACUUUCGGCCGGAACGAAAUCGCACGGGUGAAUAUCCCGGGUGGAUGACGGUACCGGAAGAAGAAGCACCGGCUAACUACGUGCCAGCGGCCGCGGUA
rnacentral:rRNA from 1 species